ACAAGAGGCCAGAGGUGGGGACUCUUUCUGUCUUGGCUACUCCUCAUCAGUGCUUUGAGCUGAACAAAGCCCUGAGAACCAAGGAAACACGAGUGCACCACCAGGGAUUUGCUCCUCUCUACAUCUGAAGCACAGCACAAAGUUCCGCCCUUUGCUUCUGCAGUUGCAGGGAGUGAGGGCAGAGGUGAGAUCAGGACCCAGUUCAUUGUGCAGCUCACGGGGCUGCAGGACCCUGUGGAGGAAACAGAUUAUCUGUUCUCUGAGGAUAGUGGAAACUGAGUAUGAUGAGCUCAUCUGGAGAAAAUGUAGGUUGGGUGUGACAGAGAAACUUGUGUUUUAUACCUCAGUGACAUCUUAA
rnacentral:lncRNA from 1 species